rnacentral:rRNA from 1 species
AACGCUGGCGGCGUGCUUAACACAUGCAAGUCGAGCGGAAAGGCCCUUCGGGGUACUCGAGCGGCGAACGGGUGAGUAACACGUGAGUAACCUGCCCCAGGCUUUGGGAUAACCCUCGGAAACGGGGGCUAAUACCGGAUAUUCAUGCGGUGUGGCAUCACAUUGUGUGGAAAGUUUUUCGGCGUGGGAUGGGCUCGCGGCCUAUCAGCUUGUUGGUGGGGUGAUGGCCUACCAAGGCGACGACGGGUAGCCGGCCUGAGAGGGCGACCGGCCACACUGGGACUGAGACACGGCCCAGACUCCUACGGGAGGCAGCAGUGGGGAAUAUUGCACAAUGGGCGGAAGCCUGAUGCAGCGACGCCGCGUGAGGGAUGAAGGCCUUCGGGUUGUAAACCUCUUUCGACAGGGACGAAGCGUGAGUGACGGUACCUGGAGAAGAAGCGCCGGCCAACUACGUGCCAGCAGCCGCGGUAAGACGUAGGGCGCGAGCGUUGUCCGGAUUUAUUGGGCGUAAAGAGCUCGUAGGCGGCUUGUUGCGUCAGCUGUGAAAACCCGCAGCUCAACUGUGGGCUUGCAGCUGAUACGGGCAGGCUUGAGUUCGGUAGGGGAGACUGGAAUUCCUGGUGUAGCGGUGAAAUGCGCAGAUAUCAGGAGGAACACCGGUGGCGAAAGCGGGUCUCUGGGCCGAUA